GAAACCAGGGUAGCAUCUCUGCUUCCCCACGUAGCCUCGCAGGAUGCUGAGCGCCCCGAGGCUGCUUGGCUGGCGCCUGGCCUGAGAUGUAGCCUGCUGGCUCAGGGGUUGCGGCGCAUGCGCACAGUCCGCAGAGCCAUUGCUCACCCUUCCUGCGGCACGCCCAUCCCGCACUGAAAGGUGAGAAAUGGCAUUGUGCAAGCCAGCGAGAGGCUGAGUGUCCUGCAGCACUGAGGAGACAAUGGCCCAGAAGAACCGACUGUGAAGGACACACUUGUUCUCAUGGUUAUGCAAAGUGAUAGCUUCAUGGACCAGUGGGCCUCAGCAGGCUGGGACGAUUCAGGCAGGGACCCUGGGACAGCGUCCUCUGCCCAUGAGGCUCGGUGGCGUCUCUUCCAAGCCCAGCUCUACCGCUUUGAGUCUGAACUGCCCUGCUUAAUGUGUCCACGCCCGUAACUUACUCCUCCUUCAUUUGCUGGCUCCAAGCUCCUCCAGACCUCAUUUGAAUCACGGUUCCCUCCUUCCUUGUCCAGUGUUAAAGGGAAGCUCUGACAUCCUGCAAGGAAGGGUCUGUAGAAACCCUAAAUUUAGCUCUGAGACUGACUCAUCUAUAGCAUAGCGUACAGUGGAAAUCACGACAUAUGUUUUGGGCAACUUCCUUAUCUAUGUCUGGCCUUCCCAGCCACUGUCUGCCCGGUGCUGUCUUCCCUUCCUCCAUCUUCAACACUGAAGGCUCUCGAUUUUGAGCACCUGUUGCUCAGGCGGUCUCUCUGCUGGCUCUGAGCUUAGCUGGUGAACGUCAGGCUGGUGAAUGUCAGCGGUUACAGCCAGUCCUAUGGUGGUCUACCUCUCUGCUUCCUGCCUGCUGUUGUGAUGUAACAAGCCGUCCUGGGAGCUCCCCUAAGGACCAGUGGCAGACCCUCUCCAUCCAAGGCACCUUCCUGCUAUGGUGGACGGUCGUCUUGAUACCAUGAGCCAAAAUAAAUCCUUUCCCCUUA